UUUUUUUUUUUUUUUUUGAUGUUGUUGUCUAAAGCAUUAUUUAAAAGUAAUAAAAUUCAUCAGUUUUACGUAGGCAGUUGAAAGCUUUUGGUAACUAUGUGCUACCAUGCAAGCACCACCAAAUCCAGUCAGACACCCUCCACAGUUCCCUUGAGCCCCUUUGCACUUGAUCCCCUCGCACGCCCAUGGUUCCAGGAAACCACAGAGUUGUCACAAUAAGAAUGCCUUUUGGAAUUUCACAGUACAUAGAAUCACACAGUACAUAGACUUUUGUGUUUGACUUCAUUCACUUAGCAUAAUGUUUCUGAGAUUCAUCCAUCCUGUUUCUCUUUAUAGCUGAGUAGUAUUUCACGACAUGACUAUACCACAGUUUGUGAUCUAUUCAUCCGUUAAAUAAGCAACUUUUAGGUUGCUUCUGAUUUUCAGCUUUUAUGACUUUUAGUAGCUAUUCAUAUGCCUAUUAUGAAUAACUGGUAUGCAUAUUUCUUGCAUAGACAUAUAUUUUCAUAUGUCUUGAGUGAAUAGCCAUGAGUGGAAGUGACUACUCAUGUGGUAAAUGCAUGUUUAAUUUUUACAAGUUACUGCCAUACAGUUUUCUAAAAUGGCUAUAUCAUCAAAGUCAUACGGUUCUAAUAAUGUUAAACCUUACAUUCUCUGUGAAAAUGUUUUCUCUAACAGGAUGGUCUUUGCCAUAGGAUUUCACCAGAGGAAAAAAAAGCCAAUUAUGCCACACAUGGAGGAAUAUUUAGUAGCAGAGGAACUAUAAACAUAUUUUUGAGCAGGAUAACAUUUUUUAACCUCUCUCUCAUGCAUUUAGUAAUGUCAAAUAACAAAUUCUUGAACACUCAGGAAGUUUCUUGGUAUCCUGCCAAACAGAAAAACAGUAAAAAGACAAUAGGCUAUAAAUUUGUUUUUAAUAUUCCUUAGGAUGAAGGUGGUUGCAAAGAGAGAAGGCUUGUUGAUUGUAAUUUAUUUCAUUUAAUACUAAAUUAGUCAACUGAAGGUAAGAUGCAUGAGAAGAAUAUGACAGAGGCUCUAAAUGCCAAGGUUCCUUUGCAGACUUAUUCUUCCCAGUUUCUCUGUGAGCAGAAGUGAUCAGGGGAUCAAGCGAGAAUAAAUGGAAUAAAUUGUGAGGUGAUCCUAGGUGAUUAAUUAUAUUAACAGAUGUGACAGGAUUCCUAUAUAUGUAUAACUUGGAGUGGAGGACACUACUCAUCCAUCACCCUCACCCCCCAAAUUACAGAGGUUUCUCCCAGAGAACAGUCCUAGAACACAGACCCAAGUUCCUUUUUCAGGAAUAAUAUAUUUGAGUUCUGGUUUAGUUACCUGAAACAAAAAUAUUUACACAUAACCCCAAUUCAAUGUGCUCCUAUAUUCUGGUCCUAUUUAUAAUCUCAUUUCCUUGGUAUAAAUAAAGCCAAUUGCUACUUUUAAACCGCUAAUUUUAAUAAAUGCUAGUUAAGUUUGAUAGUAUACAGAUAUUAUGCAUUAUUUGAAAAGUAGCGUAAGUGGAUAAUUUACCAGAAAAUACAGAUGUGGGUAUUCCAAACAAGAAUUUAUUGUUUUGUCAAGAUAUUUAUGAAGUUCUCUUUGUGUGUUUGGGCUUGUGGGGACUCUGGCCCUAGGCAACAGGGCUGUGGGGAAUUAAGUAAUUAAGACAAGCAGCCUUCUGUAGGAUAUUUACCCUCUCUCAGGUUCAUCAGCUACACAGUCUGGUGGAGAAGACCCUAGAAGACAGUCUGCCUUAUGGCUUUUGCUGAGUGAGGGGUGGGGGGCGUGUGAGCACAUGUGUGCUAACUAAGAAUACAUCUGGGAAGGGAUCCAUGUUAAUAUAUUUAUGCAGAUGGAUGUCCUUAUAGCAUUUUUUGCGAGCACUCCACCCCACCUUGUGUUACUAACAUGUACCUGGCUCCACUACAGCUUCCAUAUUCUGUGUAUAUAUCCUUCCACAAGAUUAUAUUUCGACAAAGGCAAGAUUUAUAGCUAGCAUUUCUAUGUCCUCAUUUGCAUUAUGCAUGGCACAUUUUAAUGAUAACACAUUUUAAUGGCUUAUUAAAUAACACAUACUAAACAAAAAUACCAAACUUCUAACCAAGUUGAUUUAAAAUACAAUGUCAUUAUCACAGUAUUAAAAUAUUUAAUAAAGAAAAAUAAGCAAAUUAACAUUAUGCUAUGGCUCCAUUUAAAAAAAAAGUAUAGUGUACAAAAUUUCCUUAAUUUAUUCCAUCAAUUUAUUCUAAUUUGCAUAAGUGAAUAGCUGGCUUCUUGUGAGCCAUGUCAGGCUUUGUGAUCUACUAAUGCUUCCUGGCUGGGUUCACAUUUGUAUUCACUGCUAGAAAAGCAGAUCUUACAGCUAAAUGGAUUUCAUGACUAAAGUAAUAAAGUUCCUCUUGUCCUUGAGAUUUGUGCUAGUCAGUAUCUAAAACACUUUAAAAUGUAUAGAGUUCUUUAUUCAAAGAAGGCUCAACUUAUUCUUCACAAUUUUGGCAAAGGCUUAAGAUGCUUAGGAUACAUGACCAUAUCUUAAAGAGACCAAAAAAGUGACUACAAAAUGCACUUCAGUUAUUUAGAAGAGACUCAUUUUAGGUAUUGAGGAAUACACAGGCCGAAAGUGAAAGAUGCAAAAUGAUAUUCCAUACAAGUGGAACCCAAAGAGAGCAGGGAUGUACAUAUUUGUAUCACACAAAAUAGAUUUUAAGUCAAAAACUAUAAUAAGAGACAAAGAAAAAUAUUAUAUAAUGAUAAAAGGGCAAAUUCACCAGGAAAAUAUAACGUAAUGAUAGCAGAUCCAAAUACAUGAAGCAAAUAUUGACAGAAUUGAAGGAAGAAAUAGACAGUAACAAAAUAAUAGUAAAUGAUUUCAAUACAAUAUCUCACUCUAAGAAUGGACAGAUCAACCAGAUAGUAGAUCGAUAAGGAAACAGAGGACUUGAAUAACACUAUAGAUCAAUUGGCCCUAACAAACAUAUAGAACCCUCCAUCCAACAGCAUCAGAAAAUACAUUCUUCCCAAGUGCAUACAAGUAUUCUCCAGUAUAGAUCACAGGUGAAGUCCCCCCUGCCAAAAAAAAGUCUUGACCAAUUUAAGACAACUAAAAUCCUACCAAGUAGCAUGAAACUAGAAAUCAAAAGCAGAAGGAGAACUGGAAAAGUCACAAAUAUGUGGAUAUUAAACAGCACACACUGAACAGUCAGUGGUGGGUUAAAAAUAGAUCACAAGGGAAGUUAGAAGUACCAUGAAACAAAUGAAAAUGCAACAUACUAAAACUUAUGAGAUGCAUCAAAAGCAGUACUAAGACAAAAAUAUAUACGGCUAAAUGCCCUGUUUAAAGAGAAGAAAGAGCUCAAGUCAACCGAACUUUACACCUCAAGAAACCAGAGUAAAAACAAACUCAACCCAAAGUUAGCUGAAGGAAGGAAAUAAUAAAGAUUUGAGCAGCGAUAAAUGAAAUAGAGAAUAGAAAAACAGAAAAUAUCAACUAAACUGAGUUGAUUAUUUGAAGAAAAGAAACAAAAACAAAAAACAUGACAGACUUAGUUAGACUAACUAAUAAAAAAAGGGGUUUUUAGUCACUGUUUUCACUUUUUUAUUAGUUAUUCCAGCUAAGAGUUGGAGAUUAUUAUAUCAAGUGAAAUAAGUCAGACAGAGAAAGACAAAUGUAUGAUAUCAGUUACAUAUGGAAUCUAAAACAAAUAGAACUUAUUAAAAAAAAGACUACAAAAGAACUUAUUAAAAAAAAAAGAAACAAACUCACAUUUCAAAACUAAUCUUAUGAUUACCAUGGGUGAUAUCACCGGGGGAGGAAAUAAUUGGGAGGGUGGGAAUAACAAUAUACACACUAACAUAAAGAUGAUUGCUGACAAUCUACUGUAUAGCACAGGAAAAUCUACUCAAUAGUUUGUAAUAACCCAUAUAGGAGAAAGAAUGGAUAUACUUAUAUGUAUGACUGAUUCACUUUGCCAUACCCCUGAAACUAAUACAACUUUAUAAAUCAACUAUACUUCAAUAAAAUUAAAUUUAAAACAGAGAGAGGAGUUCCUGUUGUAGCUCACUGGGUUACAAACCCUACAUUGUAUGUGUGAGGAUGUUGGUGUGGGUUCGAUCCCUGGCCCUGCUCAGGGGGUUAUGGAUUUGGUGCUGCUGCAAGCUGUAGUGCAGGUCACAGACACAGCUCAGAUCCCAUGUUGCUGCAGCUAUGAUGUAGGCCUUAGCUGCAGCUCCAAUAUUCUACCCCAGCCUGGGAAUAUCCAUAUGCUGCAGUGGUGCGGCCAUAAAAAUAAAACAAAGAGAUGGAAAAUUCAACAAAAAUUAGGAAUGAAGAUGGGACACUGCAACUGAUGCCACAGAAAUAAAAAGGACCACAAGAGAGUAUUAUGAAAAAUUAUAUGCCAAAAAAACUGAAUAAUUUAGAAGUAGAUAAAUUCCUAUAAACAUACACCCUACCAAGACUAAUUCAUGAAGAAAUUAAAAAAGCUAAACAGACCUAUAUCCAGUAAGGACAUGGAGUCGGUAACCAAAUUUUCUUGAUCACACAAAAAAAUGCUCAAAACCAGAUGGCUUCACUGAAGAAUUUCACUAAACAUGUAAAUAAUAAUUGAUAGUUAAUUCUUCUCAAACACUUUCAAAACAAUAAAGUGGUGAGAAUACAUCCAAACUUAUUUUAUAAGGCCAGCAUUACCCUGAUACCAAACUCAGAGAAAGAUGCCACACAAACACAUCAAAAAAACUACAGGGCAAUAUCCUUAAUGAAUAUUGAUGCAAAAAUUCUAAACAAAAUACAAACUGAAUUCAACAACAUAUUGAAAAGAUCAGGAGUUCCUAUUGUGGCACAGCAGAAAUGAAUCUGACUAAUAUUCAUGAGGUUUCAGGUUAAAUCCCUGGCCUUGCUCAGUGCGUUGGGAUCUGGCGUUACCUUGAGCUGUGGUGUGGGUUGCAGAUGUGGCUCAGAUCCUGUGUUAUUAUGGCUGUGGUGUAGGCCAGCAGCUGCAGCUCCAAGUAGACCCCUUGCCUGGGAACUGCCAUAUGCUGCAGGUGCAGCCCUAAAAAAGAAAAAAAAAAAAAUCAAAUACCGCAAUCAAGUGCAUUUAUCUCUAGGAAGCAAGAUUGGUUCAACAUAGGGAAAUCAGUCAAGGUAAAACACCAUUAUUAACAGAAUGAAGAAUAAAAAUUACAUGAUCAUCUCAACUGAUGUAGAAAAAGCAUUUGAAAAAAAUUCAGCAUUUUCUCCUGAUUAAAACCUUUCAAACAUUUUUAAUUAUACAAAGAACAUACCUUGACAUAAUAAAGCCCAUCUAUGAAAAACCCACAGCUAACAGUGCUCAUACUUAAUGGUAAAAAAAAUGAAAGUAUUCACUAUAAGAUGAGGAACAAAGCAAGGAUGCCAUCUAUUGCCACUUCUAUUCAACACAGAACAGACAUUCCUAACAAUUAGGAGUUGCCUAAAUAGCCUAACAAUCAGGCAAGAAAGAGAAAUAAAAGACAACCAAAUUUGAAAAGAAGCAAAUUAACCUCUGUUUGUAGAUGGAAUGAUCUUACAAGUAGAAAACCCUAAAGAUUCUACAAAACAAACAAACAAAAACACUGAGAACUAAUAAACAGUUGUAGAAAAAGUCCAGAAUACAACAUCAACAAGCAAAAAUCAGUUCCAUUUCUAUACACUAACAAUGAAUAAUCCAAAAAAAGGAAAUUAGGAAAACAAUCAGAACCAAAAGAAUAAAAUAUUUAGGAAUAAACUUAACCAAAGAAAUGAAUUCUACACUGAAAACCAAAAAAUAUUGCUGAAAGAAAUCAAAGAAGACACAAAUACAUGGAAAGGCAGUACAGGUUCAUCAACUGAAGACCAAAUAUUAUUAACUUUUCCAUAAUACUUAUACUGAACUACAGAUCAAUGCAAUCCAUAUCAAAAUACUAAUGACAUUUUUUACAGAAAUACAAAAAAAAUCCUAAAAUUCAUAUGGAAUCUGAAAUAACCCUAUAUAGUCAAACAAUCUUAGGAAUAAUAAGAAAGAUGGAGGCCUCACACUUUCUGAUUUCAAAACAAGUUACAAAACUAUAGAGUCAGAACAGUAGGUUGUGGCAGAAAGAUGAUAAACACACAGACCAAUGGAAUAGAAUAGACAGCCCAGAAAUAAACCCUCACAUAUAUGGUCAAAUUAUCUUUGACAAGAUGGACAUCCUAUGUUUUCAAUAUCCACAUGCAAAAGAAUGAAGUUGGACAUUUACACUGCACCACAUAACCAAAAUUAACUUAGAGUGGAUUAAAAAUAUAAACAUAAGAUUCAAAGUGAUAAAAGUCCUAGGAUUAGAACAAAAACCUUGGGGAUGAGCUUCAUGACAUUGUGUUUAGCAAUGAUUUCUUUGAUAUGACACC
rnacentral:lncRNA from 1 species